rnacentral:antisense_RNA from 1 species
CUUUAUGGCGGGCCGUGCGGGGCAGGCUACGGCCUGGCCGGUUUUCCUUCGUGUGCCGGUUUGCGACCCCCGUACGGUCUGCCACCCCA